UCUUCAGUGAAGUAAACAUAUCCAAGAGGAAGAGGUUGAGUUUGGACCAUGACUUAGUGUCUUUUUCAAUUUUCCUUUAAAAAUGGGUGGGGGCAGGGCAAUUCAGGAUAAAGGUCCACACACCCACCCUAAUUUUUCUACAUUGACAUCCCAGUAAUUGAGAAAUUUAAAGAACAGAUAGAUACAGAUGUUAGGGGAUUAUAUUGAUUACGAUUCGGAUUUAGAGAAAUUGUUAUUAUGACCACCCAGUGUUCCAACCUGAUAUAAGGUGUGCAUAAUCCUGAGGGGCCACUUUGAAGGACCUGGCGCCAGGGCAGACUGGAGAGGCGAUCCUGAGUCCCCCAGCCAUCUCUUAAUCAUUGGGCCAGGGUUUCAAGGAAAGAAGAAAUAAGGGGAGGGGCGAGGGGAGAGGGCAACCUCAUCUGGUACCCCUACACAAAGUUAUUGCUUCAUAAUCUGCGUCAUUCAUGAAGACUAUAGUCUGUCAAGAUGUACAGUUUGUCAGUAACCUGUUCCGAUUUAAGCAGCUUCUUGCUGAACCCAGUUAUAAUAAUGCGAGCAAGAAAGCAGACAUUUAAUCAUGUUUGAAGAACUGAUAAUGAACAUCACACAAAACCCCAGGGGUUUGUCUCUGAAAGUUAUAGAAUACAGUAUGGUUGAAAGAGAAUCAAAAGAUUGUGACAGCAAACAGGAUUAUCUGGGUGAGCUUGGGAAUUGCUGGAUCAGAUGAGCAGGUGGGGAAAAUAGAUUCAUAGAUGUAGAUCAUACAUGUGGGGUAAUUAAUAAAAGAAUUGUCUGGAUCCCUAGAUCUAAAGCAUGGGGCUAAACAUGCUCUCCAGCAACAGACAGCCCCCAGCAGAGAUUUAAAAGUCACAAGCAGCAGCAUAUUGUGGGAAUAUAGGCUGUUAAACCUUUUAAACUUCUUGUUCUGAGUCGCUACCAGAGCUUCCCCAUUUCUACCCCUCUUAGCACUGAACAGACCACACACCUUGGGAAGUUUUAAAAUGCUUUACUUACAAAGUUCCAAAAGUCAGGUUCAUGCAUUUAUCCAUGCAGCAGCAUAUAAACACAGGCAAAAAUAUUGGGGUACAAAAUAUAGUGAAACAGCUCUAAGCACAUGGUCUGAACUAAUAGCGGGCAAGUUCAGGCUCAGGCACAAACUUUAUCUGAGAGUUCACAUGGUGAAAGAGAAUGACCAAAGCAGGAAAUUUAACUCCCUUCCUUCUAGGUGAGGGGCAUGACCUAGCUGUGUCUAGCAAUACAACUCUGUGGUCUUAAUUGCUUUUUGCAUUAACUAGCAUUACACAUGCUAUAGCUACAUGAGACAGCAAUUUCCCACAGAACUGUGUUUGAAACUAUGGAACAAGAAGCUGGAGAAGUCACAGAGAAGACUCUAUCAAAGGUGACACCUCACAUGUUUUAAUGCUGUCAAACAUUAUGGGCAAGUACAUAUACAAUCACCUAAUUUAAGUCGGGCUGCUGACAAGAAGCCCCCAGAGUCUCACAGAGUUGUGGAGAAUCGUGGGGAUCAGGAAUGGGGUGACCCGUUUCUGAAAUACAAUGUCUGGCUCUUUGUUACUUGGACUAUUGUGGCUUUUUGGGGGAGGCAGUGUGUGUCCAGUACAGUUUAGGCCUUUAAAGAAGACCAUCAGCAUUUUGAACUGGGCCCACAAACUGGUGACCAAGGCAGUUCUGUAUCAUAGUCUCUGGAUGGCAACCACCAACAGCUUUAGUGCUGAAUUCUGAACACUUUUCAGAGAUCAGAUAAACUGCAUGGCAGUAAUAUGACCUUAAGGUUACCAAAGUGACCCAGUUUACCUUCAGCUACUUUCUCACAGAAAUAUCAGUAUGCUGUAACCUCAGCUCAAGUAUUAACAGCAGGAGAGCUUUAUAAUUAAAAGCUUCACUCAUGCUCAAAACAUAACCAUCUUAAGCCUGAGUGUGUUUUCAUGCGGCUUAGGAAACUCCUCUCAUAUUUUGCGUGUGUGUGUGUGUGUGUGUGUGUGUGUGAGAGAGAGAGAGAGAGAGAGAGAGAGAGAGAGAGAGAGAAAGGUCUGAAAUCUUCGAAUAUUUGAGUUUGGACAGGAAAAUAAAUUUAGACUGUGAACUAGUUUGCUUUAUAUUUUCAUUAGGGGCUGUUUUACAUUUGCAGUAGAAGGAGAAAAACUGAAAGCCCUAGAGGAUUUGUCCAGUAACAACUUACCUCUGCCUUUGGCAGAGUCACAAUUCCUGGACGGCCAGGACAACACCAGCUUUGGUGAAGAUGCAAGGGCCACCCUAUGUUUCUCUACUCUAUCUUUCUGUUGAGGUGUAUCUGUGCUUUGUUGGUUUUCUGCAACCGCCCACAAGACCUUGGUCAAUGGGUGGUCUAUAAACAGCAGAAACAAAAAUAUUAAAGCUGAUUUAACUCUCAAAUGUGAAAAUAUUGCUAGCAGUGCAAUUAUUUGAAUGAUUCUCCCUUUCUUGUUCCAACAGGCUUUGGGGAAUUGAUGGCUUUUAAUGAAAGGGCUGGUGCUGUGCUGUUUUUGCUGUGAUUAUCUGUAUGGUUUUAAUGUAUUUUGAUCUAUCUACAUAAUAUAUACUUUUAAUUCUGACAAUGUUUAAUUGUUUUUUAAUUGUUGUUGUUUUUUCUUUGUUUUUAGCUCUUCUUUUAUCUAUCAGCUGCCUGGAGUCCCUGUCAGGGAAAAAGGUGGGGUAUAAAUAUAUAAAUAUAUAUAUAUUACUACUACUAUGACGACAUUUCCUUUUACGGUAUAAUGCAUCUAGUUGCGAGCCCAUUCCUUGUCUUACCCCUGUUACAUUUCCUCAUUGUUGCUUGGGCUUAAUUUGUGUCAGGGCUCAGCAUGGAUUUUCAGUAUCAGCGCUCAGCCCUAUAAAAAACAAAGUAAGUAAAAAGAAAAGGGGUGGUAAUCAAGGCUGCAACAUUUAAUUAAUUAAUGAUUUAGAGUAAUCAUUUUUAAAAAAAUCAUUGACUCAAAAAGUGUCCCUGUUAAGGGAAAUAUAGAUUUUGCAACACAACUAUAUAUAUAAAAACUGCAGGUGGCAUAUACUAUCACAAAAGAGGCAUUCUCAUUCUACUCUCACACAGAAGGAAUGCCUCAUAAGAAGACACAUGCAGGCAUCAUCUAAAAACAAAGAGAACAUGCUUCUUGGUUCAAAAUUGUUUUGACCAUAUGUAUAGUUAGGUGACAAGGGGCGCAGGUGGCGCUGUAGGUUAAACCACAGAGCCUAGGACUUGUCGAUCAGAAGGUUGGCAGUUCGAAUCCCCGUGACGGGGUGAGCUCCCGUUGCUCGGUCCCUGCUCCUGCCACCCUAGCAGUUUGAAAGCACGUCAAAGUGCAAGUAGAUAAAUAGGUACCGCUCCGGCGGGAAGGUAAACGGCGUUUCCGUGCGCUGCUCUGGUUCACCAGAAGCGGCUUAGUCAUGCUGCCCACAUGACCCGGAAGCUGUACGCCGGCUCCCUUGGCCAGUAAAGUGAGACGAGCGCCACAACCCCAGAGUCGAUCACGACUGGACCUAAUCGUCAGGGGUCCCCUUUACCUUUAUAUUUAGGUGACAGCUCAAUUACAAUGUCUUUAAUCAGACUGCAGUAAUAGGCUUAAUGAGAGAAAGUGCAGUUGAAGCCUGCUCCAUGUGCCUUCAUCCCCAAGACUCCUCACUGCCCUAUUCUCUGUAGUUUCAGGAUUCAGGGCAUUAUUGCCAGUCAGUGUUCAUACAGUAACGUGGACCACCUGUUUGCUUUUCUCUCCCAUCAACUGGGCACUGAUUUAUCCUCCAGAAGUCAUGUUUGCUUCGUAGGAUAAAGUCAACUUACAGAACACACACAUACACACCUGCAACAGUCCCUAUCUGUGGUUUGUUUAUGUUUUCUCUUGUGCAAAGCCCAAUUACUUCCCUGAUCCGAUUACAUUUUUAACAGUGGGCCUGUGCUGAUCAGUCGGACAAUGAAAGAAGGCUUUCUGUAGACAAGACUGGGGUUUCUCAAGAUUUAACAGUUACCCAGGUAUGAAGAAAAAAAUUAACUGUAAGAGAGAGAGCGUCCACCAACCAAGGGCUGCAAAUGUGCAAAGACUUUCC